ensembl:snRNA U6 U6 spliceosomal RNA
CUGUGCUCCCUUGGCCCACAUGGGUACUAAGAUUGGAGCAAUGCAUAGAAGAACAGCAUGUCCCCUGUGCAAGGGUGACACACAAACUCAUGAAGCAUCCCGUAUUUUU